AUCUGGUCAGAUAAUCUUUAAAUAUGUAAGUGAGUGUUCAAGAAGAUUUGAAAUGUAUGAUCAUUAUGGGGAAUCAACGGCUAUUUUAUCUAGUUUACCAUCAUCAGAAAACUGCCAACUAAGUCUGUGUAUAUUAACAAACAGUGAUAAGUUGAUACUGAUUAUUAUUAAUAAUCACAAAUAAAUUACAUUAUUAAUUUUUAUUUUAUUAUUUUAAUUUAGUUUAGUUUUUUAUUUGAUUUGUGCAGGGAUUUGUAAAGUUAAUAAAUAAAUAAAUAACCUAAUGUUGCUUUUAUAUCUUUUAGUAUAGUGUUUGUUUAGCGAAUUUACAUAUUAUUAUUAUUAUUAUUAUUAAAUCGUGUUAAAUGUAUUGCUUAAUUAAUAAUAAAUAGUCAAAAGAACAUAGCAUAUAAUAAAAAUUUCAUCCACUGCCUAUUGAAUGCGCUACACCCAGUCCAGUAGGAGGCGCUAAUGACCCUUCAGUUGCCAACCGCCACUCAAACCAAAAGCGCAGAAGAACAAAAAUGACCGGGAAAAUCUGACAGAAGUGAGAAGAUGAUAACAGCACAGCGGGGUUUUAAAAGCCCUAGGGGUGGGCGGAAUGACCAAAAAUCUAUUCCACGGAAUGAGUCAUUUUAUUUCACGGAACGGUAUAUUCACGGUCAGAGAAUGGAUGGAUUAUCCAUAUUAUCGGUACAUAAUGAAAGACUUGACUGAGUUAGAAGAAGCUGAGCGACUCUUCAGAGUGAAGAUGUUAUGAUGCAGUUAUGUCAAAGUACUCGUUUUGGCUGGCCAGAUUGGAAGAGACCUGAAUGGGAAGAUGGCAGAGCUAAGACUGACAAUGUCCAGGAAAAAUGUUAACUAAAAAUGAGUGUGUUUUUCCCCAGCGAGUGAGUUUGGGAAUGUUUUAAAUGUGCCUAGAAGUUUGAAAAUGUAAUACUGAGGGAAAAAAGUGAGCGCUUUGAAAAGGCUUUAAAAAGAAAAUAAAGUCUGAAGUUGAUGUUAAAUGAAGUUAAAGUUUUUACUUAAAAAGUUUGUACUUGUUUGUACUUGUCAAGUCUGUGCUGAAAAAAUGCAGUAAAGUUUGUAUUUGAAAAGACUUGGAAUUGUGUGUUCUGUAGAAUGAGUACAAAUAUAUGUGUAGGCUGUAUAAAAAAACAUAGUUGUGCCACUAAUAUAAGUGAAAGUACAUGGUGGCAUCAUAUAAGAAGCAUAUUUGUAUCCCUAAUAUAAGUGAAAGUACAUGGUGUCAUCAUAUUUGAAGCAUAUUUGUAUCCCUAAUAUAAGUGAAAGUAUGUACUAUGGAAAUAAGUACAUAUAUGCAUGUAUACAUAUAUGUGUCUUACAUAUAUUUCACAUGUAUGUCCAUAUAUGUGAAAAUAUAUGGCACUUAUAUGAAAACGGCCAUUUUUGCAAUAUUUUGAAAUAUAUUUUCCAUAUAUGUCCAUGUAUUUUACAUAUAUGAAUUUUGCAUAUUUAAUAUAUGCAGCAGACAUACAUGGGCACUGAUAUUAUAUAUGUAAUUUACAUAUAUUGACAUAUAUUACAUUUCUG